rnacentral:rRNA from 1 species
AACGAACGCUGGCGGCAGGCCUAACACAUGCAAGUCGAGCGAGCAUUUCGGUGCUAGCGGCGGACGGGUGAGUAACGCGUGGGAACGUGCCCUUUUCUGCGGAAUAGUCCUGGGAAACUGGGGGUAAUACCGCAUACGCCCUUUUGGGGAAAGAUUUAUCGGAGAAGGAUCGGCCCGCGUUGGAUUAGGUAGUUGGUGGGGUAAUGGCCCACCAAGCCGACGAUCCAUAGCUGGUUUGAGAGGAUGAUCAGCCACACUGGGUCUGAGACACGGCCCAGACUCCUACGGGAGGCAGCAGUGGGGAAUCUUAGACAAUGGGGGCAACCCUGAUCUAGCCAUGCCGCGUGAGUGAUGAAGGCCUUAGGGUUGUAAAGCUCUUUCAGCUGGGAAGAUAAUGACGGUACCAGCAGAAGAAGCCCCGGCUAACUCCGUG